UCUCGAUCUCAGAUCAAGCGAGACUACCCCCUGAAU
rnacentral:rRNA from 1 species